rnacentral:tRNA from 1 species
GGCACUGUGGCUUAGCAGGUUAAAGCCCUAGCCUGCAGUGCCAGUAUCCCCUAUGGGUUUGGGUUCGAGUUCUGGCUGUUCCA